UAGCAUAUGCUUGUCUCAAAGUUUAAGCCAUGCAUGUAUAAGUCCACACGGCUGGAAAAGUGAAACUGCGAAUGGCUCAUUAAAUCAGUUAUGGUUCCUUUGAUCGCUCACCCGCUACUUGGAUAACUGUGGCAAUUCUAGAGCUAAUACAUGCAAACGAGCGCUGCAAUCCGGGGAUGCGUGCAUUUAUCAGACUUAAAACCCGCGCGGGGCGCUGCCGCGUGGUGGCCCCCGGCCUGUUUGGUGACUCUAGAUAACCUUGGGCCGAUCGCUCGCCCUCGCGGCGGCGACGACUCAUUCGAAUGUCUGCCCUAUCAACUUUCGAUGGUACUCUAUGUGCCUACCAUGGUGACCACGGGUAACGGGGAAUCAGGUUUCGAUUCCGGAGAGGGAGCCUAGAAAUGGCUACCACAUCCAAGGAAGGCAGCAGGCGCGCAAAUUACCCAUUCACGACACGUGGAGGUAGUGACGAAAAAUAACAAUACAGGACUCUUUCGAGGCCCUGUAAUUGGAAUGAGUGUACUUUAAAUCCUUU
rnacentral:rRNA from 1 species